AGACAGUAACGGUUGUCGCGUCAUUUUUCAGGAAAUGCCGAGGAAAGUCGGGACAGCGCAGAGCGCCAUGCUUCCUAACGGGAAGGUGUUUUUCCGGAAACGGGAAAGCAACAGAAAGUGCCACAGAAAAUUACCGUCUUCCUUUGUCACUUGUGACAAGGCAAGAUAAGGGUGAAAACGUGAGGUAAGAGCUCACGAUGUGUGAUGGUGACAUCGCACAGGGGUAAACCUUAUGGGCUGCAAGGCCAAAUAAGCCGGUUAUUUCUUCGCUUCGGCGGGAUGAAAGGGUUGCUCGCCCGAUGCCGGUGGGUAGGCUGCAAGAGCCUUUUGGCAACAAAAGGCCGAGAUAAAUGACAACCUCAUUACAGAAUCCCGCUUAUGGUACUGUCAAAAC
rnacentral:RNase_P_RNA from 1 species